rnacentral:rRNA from 1 species
UACGAAGGGGGCUAGCGUUGCUCGGAAUCACUGGGCGUAAAGCGCACGUAGGCGGUCUUUUAAGUCAGGGGUGAAAUCCUGGAGCUCAACUCCAGAACUGCCUUUGAUACUGAGAGACUUGAGUCCGGGAGAGGUGAGUGGAACUGCGAGUGUAGAGGUGAAAUUCGUAGAUAUUCGCAAGAACACCAGUGGCGAAGGCGGCUCACUGGCCCGAUACUGACGCUGAGGUGCGAAAGCGUGGGGAGCAAACAGGG